AUGUAAGUAUAUGAAUGGCCGCGGUACUUUGACCGUGCUAAGGUAGCGCAAUCAAUUGGCUUUUAAUUGAAGCCAUGUAUGAAUGGAAUCACGGGGCUUAGCUGUCUCUUAACUAUUUUAUUGAAAUUACUAUGUAGGUGAAAAAGCCUGNAUGAAGAAAAAAGACGAGAAGACCCUUAGAGUUUUUCUAAGAUUAGAAUAAUUUCUAAAACAGUUUAGUUGGGGCAACGUAGGAGCAGCUUACAAAUAACCUCCUGUAAAACACGUACCGAUAUUUAUAAAUAUGAAUAAACUACCUUAGGGAUAACAGCAUAAUUUUAUAAAUAAGUUUGUGACCUCGAUGUUGGACUAGGAAACUAAGAGGCUAGCCGCCUCUUAGGUAAGUUCUGUUCGAACUAUUAUUCCU
rnacentral:rRNA from 1 species